rnacentral:rRNA from 1 species
AGCGAACGCUGGCGGCAGGCUUAACACAUGCAAGUCGAGCGCCGUAGCAAUACGGAGCGGCAGACGGGUGAGUAACGCGUGGGAACGUGCCUUCUGGUUCGGAAUGACUCAGGGAAACUUGAGCUAAUACCGGAUAAGCCCUUCGGGGGAAAGAUUUAUCGCCGGAAGAUCGGCCCGCGUAAGAUUAGCUAGUUGGUGAGGUAAUGGCUCACCAAGGCUACGAUCUUUAGCUGGUCUGAGGGGAUGAUCAGCCACACUGGGACUGAGACACGGCCCCCCCUCCUACGGGAGGCAGCAGUGGGGUCUGUUUGCCAAUGGGCGCAAGCCUGAUCCAGCCAUGCCGCGUGCGUUCUUCCGGCCUUAGGGUUGUCCCGCUCUUUUCGCAGGGACGAUAAUGACGGUACCUGCAGAAACAGCCCCGGCCAACUUCGUGCCAGCAGCCGCCGUAA